GUACUCUUUUCGGCGGUACAUAUACUAAAAUUGGAACGAUGCAGAGAAGAUUAGAAUAGCAUAUGCACAAAGGAUGACACGUAAAAUCAUGAAGCGUUCCAUAUUUUG
rfam:Schistosoma mansoni strain Puerto Rico chromosome 3, complete genome